rnacentral:RNase_P_RNA from 1 species
AGGACAGGUCGGAUUGUCGCGCUCCAGUGUCACAAUUGGAGUGAGGAAAGUCCGGACACUCGCCUUUUUCCCUCAAAAAAAGAGGCAGCAGGUACUGGGUAAUUCCCAGACGCCGCGAGGCGCGAGGUGCGAACAGAGACGGCUUGGUCUGCAAAGACUGAGCCACCCUAAUACACUAUUGGGGUGAAUCAAGUAGUAAUGCUUGGAGUGAAACGGCUAAAUCCUUAUCUGAGUGCAAGGUCGUGUCAUUACACGGACUUAUGCUGACUGAAUAUACAGAGGAAUAAUAUUGUAUUAAGUCUGCCUGAGUCCGUGUGAUGGAGUGCCGCAAAGAAUCAGCGAGUAAUCGUUUGAUCAAGAGAAAUGGCAAUCGUCUCGCUUCGGUGAGAUACAGAAUCCGGCUUAUAGACCCGUCCUAGAA